rnacentral:lncRNA from 1 species
ACAGAAGAGCAAACUGACCCACUCCCCUGAAGGCCAAGGCCCCAUGCCUCCCAGCGCUAGUAAAGUAGCAGUCGACAGUUCUAAAAUUCCCCGACAAAGAACAAGAAGAGAAGCAGGUGUGCCUGCGGCAGGGCCAGGACAGUCAACAUCCACCUCAGGAGACAGAUGCUCUGAGCAGCUGCAGGGACAGACAAAGGCGCUCUCAAGGCAGCCACCAGAGAGCCAUCGACCGAGAGAGGAGAAGGA